AGGUGUGCGCCACCACGCCUAGACUUGAAGCAUUUACUCUGGGGAGCUGACAAAAUGCUGGAGUUCAGGACGCAGACUCAAAGGGAAGACCACGUGGAGAAGCAGGGAAAACGCGGCCAUGUGGAAACCAAAGAGGGAGGUCCGGGGAGAAGCCAACACCACGAACACCUUGAUCUCAGACGUCCAGCUCCAGAAUCAUAAGGAAUUAUGAAGCCAUGUCAUCAGCUGAGAAUGAAUAAUUAAGAGGAAGAUGGAAAAUGAGAUAAGUGGAGAGAGG